ensembl:lncRNA
CAUCACCAACACUGUUUAGGCAUGUGGGAAAAAACACAUUAAACAAACAGUGCUGGACUGUGUCUCCCCCUGCAGGAUGAAAAGGGAAACGAUAAAAAGGGAUUAAACUCAUCUCUGUGGAAAUUGUAUUUACAUUGGGAGCAAAGCAGACUGAUUUUAUUCUACAAAAAAGGUUAAUGGUAAACUGCACAUAUCUGCAUGUUUAAAUACAUAUUUAUUAAUAGCAGCGCCAAAAAUGCAUCUAACGUGUCAGUAUACGUAGGCUUUUGUUUAAACAACCAACAGCACAAUGUUAUUUUUCAGUCACUCAAGAUAUAUUCGCAUCCUUCAGCCAGGAAAAACAUAAAAGCUACAUCCUUACUUCAAUUACAAUUUAAGUUGGAGCCAGAGUUUCCUCCUGGACAGAAGAGGGGGCUGUUUGUCGCGAGCUUCACGCUCACUCAGCCGCCAUAAUGAGACCCGUUUGUGAGUUUUGAGUGGAGCGUCAGGCUGCAGAUUAAAAACAGAAAUUUAACAGCGGCUGAUGAUUGUACGGACUACGUCUGAUGCCGGAACACAGUUGUGUAGCGAAGACAAACACAACUCUACACCAGCCACAGUUUUGUCGUCUAAUU